rnacentral:lncRNA from 14 species
AGCUGGUUAGACACAGACUAGCUGUGAGCUGGCCUCCAUGCCUUUGCCCUUCUGGGUUUUCUGAGGCACAGGCAGGCUGUUUCUCCUCCUGCUGUUGUGGUGGCCAGCCUCAGAUUUCAGGGCACAGCGGUGAGGGCUUGUUAAAGGGGCAGGAUCCUACUUCUGUCCUUCACACUGCAGAACAGUGGGCAAUGUUAGAGUGUGGGACCUCCCCAAAACCCCGCCCCUUCUUUCCAUCUUUCUGCACUUCCUUUCUUUCUGUUCUUUCGGCUUCAUUGAGAUGGGGAUGAAUGCGGAGAAGUAAACAGUUCAGCCACACCAGACUCGGCUAUAGUCUUGCUGGGAGUCUUCCCACAGGAUCUUCCAGAUUCAGACAAACUGUAGAACUACUUACAUUUUUUUAUUUCUGUGCUGAGUUACUAUUUUUGCAUGACGUUCUCAUAACUACGUUCAUCUUGUAUCUUGAAAUAAGUUAAACUCACAGUUCUGUGAUUCAAACCAGAAGUCCAUGGAUCACUCCCAGAAGAGGAGGCAUGGCUAAUUCAGCUCUGUUGGUGGGAGGGACAGACAGAUUCCCCAAGCUGUGUGUGAGUGAGCGGUAGCCAGGCUCCUGUGGGUUUCUGAGGAAAAUCUCAUUUUCUCCUAUUACUAUUCAGACAGAGGGAAGUAUCCCUCAGACUUAUGGAGAUGGGGGAGCAGGGUCCUGGCCCUUCAUCUGGGUUCAUAGUAACUGUGGGAGGCUCUUUGACAGGACCCACUGGGGCAGGCCGGAUGCCACCUCGUGGCAGGGAGCUGUCAUGAGGCAGUGAGGGGCCCAGAGAAGACUGAGCUGAGCAGAGAGACAAGCAGGGCAUCUGCACUGUCAGGAAUUCAGAGGCCCCAGUUCAGAGUGGGAAGCAGCUAAGAUUUCCAUGGCUAGUGUGUGACCCUGAGAGAGAGCUAGGGAACUUCCUUUCCACUGCACCGUCCACUGCAACGUCUGGUCUUGUUUUUCAGAAAUCGCCCAGGUCAUUGCUUCCUACACUGCUACGGGUCCUGAACAGCUCACCCUGGCUCCUGGUCAGCUGAUUUUGAUCCGAAAAAAGAACCCCGGUGGAUGGUGGGAAGGAGAACUACAAGCUCGAGGGAAAAAGCGCCAGAUAGGGUGGUUCCCAGCAAAUUAUGUCAAACUUCUAAGCCCUGGAACAAGCAAAAUCACCCCAACUGAGCUACCCAAGACCGCAGUGCAGCCAGCAGUGUGCCAGGUGAUCGGGAUGUACGAUUACACCGCGCAGAAUGACGAUGAGCUAGCCUUCAGCAAAGGCCAGAUCAUCAACGUCCUCAGCAAGGAGGACCCGGACUGGUGGAAAGGAGAAGUCAGUGGGCAGGUUGGGCUCUUCCCGUCCAAUUAUGUGAAGCUGACCACAGACAUGGACCCCAGCCAGCAAUGAAUCAUAUGUUGUCCAUCCCCCCUCAGGCUUGAAAGCCCUCAAAGAGACCCACUAUCCCAUAUCACUGCCCAGAGGGAUGAUGGGAGAUGCAGCCUUGAUCAUGUGACUUGCAGCAUGAUCACCUACUGCCUUCUGAGUAGAAGAACUCACUGCAGAGCAGUUUACCUCAUUUGACCUUAGUUGCAUGUGAUCGAAAUGUCUGAGUCACUGCGUGCAGAGGCAGAAGCAAAUUGCAGAACUGCACAGGGUGGUGGGUCCUUUUGUGGCUUUCCUAGUCACUCAGACUGACGGCCCCGCCUUCACACAGGCGCUUUCAAUAGUUUUAAGAUUAUUUUUAAAUGUGUAUUUUAGCCUUUUAAUAAAAAUCAAUCAAUUACUUCUUUGCUAUUUUGGUUUUGCAAAAAGACCCACUAUCAAGGAAUGCUGCAUGUACGAUUAAACACUGUUCCGAGCGUCCGUAAACCUGAGACUUGAUGUAUCUUUGCCAUUUGUUCAGUGUUACCAACCACAUUGUGUAGUUGGGGCCUUUCCCCCGCUGUAGAGCACAGAGGAGCUGGGUGCACCUGUUUGAAGAUGUGUAGACUGAGCCUGAGUAAACAGACGGUGCUAUGCCUGUCUGUGACUGAUGUGUAACGUCUGUGCUGAGGAAGUAGCUCUCCACAUGGCAAACACCACCACCGUUACAAUGCUCUCAUCGACUGCAGUAACUUGAUUUUGCACAGUGACCUUGUAGCCACCCGAGGAAGCACCCGUGUUUCCGUUUGGUAUCAUCUGGUUGUGCUGGUAUUUGGUUUUGAGUCUUUAACGUGGCGUGUUUUCAUACCAUGAGUCAGUGAGACGCCACUGCCUGGUUACAGUCAUCGCUGUCCACUGUCUUCGUCUCUGUUACACGACGGUUUAUUCAGUUGCUUUUCAUGGAAUAUUUUGAACAAGUAAUUUUCUUGACAAGAAAGAAUGUAUAGAAGUCUCCCCACAAUUAAUUUCCAGUGUUUACAUUUUUUAACUAGACUGUGGAGUUUCUACAGAUUAAUAUGAAAUGGCGCUCCUGGUCCGUGUGUGUGUUAACUCGUGCUGUAGCUGAUGCCAUGUUUGUCUUUAGACAUUAGUUGGAAGCUCUCAAUAAAAAAAGAAAAGGUGCCCACCGCUGACAGCACAGAAAAUGGGUUGUGGAAGCCUGAAGCGCCAUUUAGCUGUCCUAGUAGUAAGUGUAACCCGGCGUCCCUCUGGGCUCCUCCCGGGGAGACGCCGUGCUGGCGGUGUUCAUGGUGCUGAGGAUGGGCUGCCCUCCUUGUCGCCCUGGGCUCAGUGUUUCCAUGCAUAUGAUUGUAAAAUAUAUAAAUACACAAACCUGCAGCUUUAACAAUUGUAAUACAACCUUUUUGGAUUAGUUAUGUGUAUAGAUAAUUAAAUUCUUC